AUAACUCAACUGAUUGAUUGCCACGAGAACCAACUAAGAUACUGAAACACUGCUAAACAUACCGAAUGAAAAAACGGUCAUCGAUAGGUUUCAAACUAACACAUGUGCAAUUCAAGCCAAAUCCGAAGGUAAGGAUGGGGGGUCAAACAAGGAAGACUAGCCAAAAUCAAUGUCACAUUCUCCUUCCAAUUUGCAUCUAUCACUGUGUGAGCCAUAGUGGAGGUCAACGUAGAUCAGGAGCUCGCGCAUCUUCCUCGCGACAUCAGCUGACGUCCUCGACUUCAAAUUGAAGUGGCCCUUCAUCUUGGCAGCAGUGUCCUCGCCAUUGCGGCUGUCACGCACGGCGGUGAGCCUCCUCCGUCCCGCCAACUAGUAUGGGAAGCCACCGCGGAACAGCGCCACGACUACCGAGUACCUAGGACGAUACAACCAGCACAAUCAGAUAAAGUGAUAACAGAAAAUAAGCAGUACAUUAUCUGAAAAUAAGGAGUACCCGGAAUCUUGUCAACCAAAAUGCGAGCUUUCUCG
rnacentral:lncRNA from 1 species